UGGGGAAUAUUGCACAAUGGGCGCAAGCCUGAUGCAGCCAUGCCGCGUGUAUGAAGAAGGCCUUCGGGUUGUAAAGUACUUUCAGCGGGGAGGAAGGGAGUAAAGUUAAUACCUUUACUCAUUGACGUUACCCGCAGAAGAAGCACCGGCUAACUCCGUGCCAGCAGCCGCGGUAAUACGGAGGGUGCAAGCGUUAAUCGGAAUUACUGGGCGUAAAGCGCACGCAGGCGGUUUGUUAAGUCAGAUGUGAAAUCCCCGGGCUCAACCUGGGAACUGCAUCUGAUACUGGCAAGCUUGAGUCUCGUAGAGGGGGGUAGAAUUCCAGGUGUAGCGGUGAAAUGCGUAGAGAUCUGGAGGAAUACCGGUGGCGAAGGCGGCCCCCUAGACGAAGACUGACGCUCAGGUGCGAAAGCGUGGGGAGCAAACAGG
rnacentral:rRNA from 1 species